rnacentral:rRNA from 1 species
GAUGAACGCUGGCGGCGUGCUUAACACAUGCAAGUCGAACGAACCUUCGGGUUAGUGGCGGACGGGUGAGUAACGCGUGGGAAUCUGCCCUCAGGAGGGGGAUAACGGUUGGAAACGGCCGCUAAUACCCCAUAUGCCGAGAGGUGAAAUGAAUUUCGCCUGAGGAUGAGCCCGCGUCUGAUUAGCUAGUUGGUGAGGUAAGAGCUCACCAAGGCAUCGAUCAGUAGCUGGUCUGAGAGGAUGAUCAGCCACACUGGGACUGAGACACGGCCCAGACUCCUACGGGAGGCAGCAGUGGGGAAUUUUUCCGCAAUGGGCGAAAGCCUGACGGAGCAACGCCGCGUGAGGGAUGAAGGCCUCUGGGCUGUAAACCUCUUUUAUCAAGGAGGAAGAUUCUGACGGUACUUGAUGAAUAAGCCACGGCUAAUUCCGUGCCAGCAGCCGCGGUAAUACGGGAGUGGCAAGCGUUAUCCGGAAUUAUUGGGCGUAAAGCGUCCGCAGGCGGCCCUACAAGUCUGCUGUUAAAAAGUGGAGCUUAACUCCAUCAUGGCAGUGGAAACUGUUGGGCUUGAGUGUGGUAGGGGCAGAGGGAAUUCCCGGUGUAGCGGUGAAAUGCGUAGAUAUCGGGAAGAACACCAGUGGCGAAGGCGCUCUGCUGGGCCAUCACUGACGCUCAUGGACGAAAGCCAGGGGAGCGAAAGGGAUUAGAUACCCCUGUAGUCCUGGCCGUAAACGAUGAACACUAGGUGUCGGGGGAAUCGACCCCUCCGGUGUCGUAGCCAACGCGUUAAGUGUUCCGCCUGGGGAGUACGCACGCAAGUGUGAAACUCAAAGGAAUUGACGGGGGCCCGCACAAGCGGUGGAGUAUGUGGUUUAAUUCGAUGCAACGCGAAGAACCUUACCAGGGUUUGACAUCCUGCGAAUCUCUUGGAAACUUGAGAGUGCCUUCGGGAGCGCAGUGACAGGUGGUGCAUGGCUGUCGUCAGCUCGUGUCGUGAGAUGUUGGGUUAAGUCCCGCAACGAGCGCAACCCACGUCUUUAGUUGCCAGCAUUUAGUUGGGCACUCUAGAGAGACCGCCGGUGAUAAACCGGAGGAAGGUGUGGAUGACGUCAAGUCAUCAUGCCCCUUACAUCCUGGGCUACACACGUACUACAAUGCUACGGACAAAGGGCAGCAAGUUCGCGAGGACUAGCAAAUCCCAUAAACCGUAGCUCAGUUCAGAUCGUAGGCUGCAAACUCGCCUACGUGAAGGAGGAAUCGCUAGUAAUCGCAGGUCAGCAUACUGCGGUGAAUACGUUCCCGGGCCU